rnacentral:rRNA from 1 species
GAGCGGUGAAAUGCGUAGAUAUCUAGAGGAACGCCAGAGGCGAAGGCGGAUGGCUGGGCCGUUGUUGACGCUCAGGGACGAAAGCAUGGGUAGCGAACGGGAUUAGAUACCCCGGUAGUCCAUGCCCUAAACGAUGUGCACUAGGUCGCGGAAGGUUUGACCCUCUCGCGGCUGAAGUUAAAAUAUUAAGUGCACCGCCUGGGGAGUA